rnacentral:tRNA from 1 species
GCCGAGGUGGCGAAAUUGGUAGACGCGCUAGCUUCAGGGGCUAGUGGGGGCAACCCCUUGGAGGUUCAAGUCGUCUUCUCUGCACCA